GGAUUAGAUACCCUGGUAGUCCACGCCGUAAACGAUGUCUACUAGUCGUUGGGUCCCUUGAGGACUUAGUGACGCAGCUAACGCAAUAAGUAGACCGCCUGGGGAGUACGGCCGCAAGGUUAAAACUCAAAUGAAUUGACGGGGGCCCGCACAAGCGGUGGAGCAUGUGGUUUAAUUCGAUGCAACGCGAAGAACCUUACCUGGUCUUGACAUAUCUAGAAUCCUGCAGAGAUGCGGGAGUGCCUUCGGGAAUUAGAAUACAGGUGCUGCAUGGCUGUCGUCAGCUCGUGCC
rnacentral:rRNA from 1 species